rnacentral:rRNA from 1 species
UACGGAGGGGACUAGCGUUGUUCGGAAUUACUGGGCGUAAAGCGCACGUAGGCGGAUUUGUAAGUCAGGGGUGAAAUCCCAGGGCUCAACCCUGGAACUGCCUUUGAUACUGACGAUCUGGAGAUCGGGAGAGGUUGGUGGAAUUCCGAGUGUAGAGGUGAAAUUCGUAGAUAUUCGGAGGAACACCAGAAGCGAAGGCGGCCAACUGGCCCGAUACUGACGCUGAGGCGCGAAAGCGUGGGGAGCAAACAGG